rnacentral:rRNA from 1 species
GGCCCGCACAAGCGGUGGAGUAUGUGGUUUAAUUCGAUGCAACGCGAAGAACCUUACCAGGGUUUGACAUCCUGCGAAUCUCUUGGAAACAGGAGAGUGCCUUCGGGAACGCAGUGACAGGUGGUGCAUGGCUGUCGUCAGCUCGUGUCGUGAGAUGUUGGGUUAAGUCCCGCAACGAGCGCAACCCACGUCUUUAGUUGCCAGCAUUUAGUUGGGCACUCUAGAGAGACUGCCGGUGAUAAACCGGAGAAGGUGUGGAUGACGUCAAGUCAUCAUGCCCCUUACAUCUGGGCUACACACGUACUACAAUGGCAAGUACAACGAGUCGCAAUACGCGAGGUGGAGCAAAUCUCUUAAAGCUUGUCUCAGUUCGGA